rnacentral:rRNA from 1 species
CCUACGGGUGGCUGCAGUGGGGAAUAUUGCACAAUGGGCGCAAGCCUGAUGCAGCCAUGCCGCGUGUGUGAAGAAGGCCUUCGGGUCGUAAAGCACUUUCAGCGGGGAGGAAGGCGGUGAGGUUAAUAACCUCAUCGAUUGACGUUACCCGCAGAAGAAGCACCGGCUAACUCCGUGCCAGCAGCCGCGGUAAUACGGAGGGUGCAAGCGUUAAUCGGAAUUACUGGGCGUAAAGCGCACGCAGGCGGUCUGUCAAGUCGGAUGUGAAAUCCCCGGGCUCAACCUGGGAACUGCAUUCGAAACUGGCAGGCUAGAGUCUUGUAGAGGGGGGUAGAAUUCCAGGUGUAGCGGUGAAAUGCGUAGAGGUCUGGAGGAAUACCGGUGGCGAAGGCGGCCCCCUGGACAAAGACUGACGCUCAGGUGCGAAAGCGUGGGGAGCAAACAGGAUUAGAUACCCUAGUAGUC